UACGAAGGGGGCUAGCGUUGCUCGGAAUCACUGGGCGUAAAGCGCACGUAGGCGGCUUUCUAAGUCAGGGGUGAAAUCCUGGAGCUCAACUCCAGAACUGCCUUUGAUACUGGGAAGCUCGAGUCCGGAAGAGGUAAGUGGAAUUGCGAGUGUAGAGGUGAAAUUCGUAGAUAUUCGCAGGAACACCAGUGGCGAAGGCGGCUUACUGGUCCAUUACUGACGCUGAGGUGCGAAAGCGUGGGGAGCAAACAGG
rnacentral:rRNA from 1 species